CAGGAGAAGUCUGAGGAGCAACGCCGCGUGAACGAUGAAGGCCUUCGGGUCGUAAAGUUCUGUUGUUAGGGAAGAACAAGUACCGUUCAAAUAGGGCGGUACCUUGACGGUACCUAACCAGAAAGCCACGGCUAACUACGUGCCAGCAGCCGCGGUAAUACGA
rnacentral:rRNA from 1 species